rnacentral:rRNA from 1 species
GAUCCUGGCUCAGGAUGAACGCUAGCUACAGGCUUAACACAUGCAAGUCGAGGGGCAGCAUGACGGAAGCUUGCUUUCGUUGAUGGCGACCGGCGCACGGGUGAGUAACGCGUAUCCAACCUGCCCUUGUCCAUCGGAUAACCCGUCGAAAGGCGGACUAACACGAUAUGCAGUUCUCAGCAGGCAUCUAACGAGAACGAAAUGUGAAGGAGAAGGGAGUGGGGAUGCGU